rnacentral:rRNA from 1 species
AGAGUUUGAUUCUGGCUCAGCUCUAACGCUGGCGGUACACUUAACACAUGCAAGUCGCAUGCGAAAGUUGGGGGUAACUCUAACGAUUAGCAUGGCGCACGGGUGAGUAACACGUAGGUAACCUGCCCUGAAGAUCGGGAUAACCCUUGGAAACGAGGGAUAAUACUGGAUAACAACAAGAGUCAAAAGACUUUUGUUCAAAGAUGGCCUCUACUUGUAAGCUAUCACUUUGGGAUGGGCCUGCGGCUUAUCAGCUUGUUGGUGGGGUAAAAGCCUACCAAGGCUAAGACGGGUAGCUGGUCUGAGAGGAUGAUCAGUCACACUGGAACUGAGACACGGUCCAGACUCCUACGGGAGGCAGCAGUGGGGAAUUUUGCGCAAUGGGCGAAAGCCUGACGCAGUGAUACCGCGUGGGGGAAGAAGGCCUUCGGGUUGUAAACCCUUGUUAGGAGGGAAGAAAGUGCAUAGUUCAAAUAGGGCUACGUAUUGACGGUACCUCCAGAGGAAGCGACGGCUAACUCUGUGCCAGCAGCCGCGGUAAUACAGAGGUCGUAAGCGUUGAGCGGAAUUAUUGGGCUUAAAGAGGGAGUAGACGGCCAGAUAAGUAAAGUGUGAAAUCGUUUGGCUCAACCAAACAAUUGCACUUUAAACUAUUUGGCUAGAGGAAAAGAGAGGGCAUCGGAAUUCUUGGAGUAGGGGUAAAAUCCGUAGAUACCAAGAGGAAGGCCAAAAGCGAAAGCAGAUGCCUGGCUUUUUCUGACGUUCAGGCCCGAAAGCGUGGGUAGCAAACAGGAUUAGAUACCCUGGUAGUCCACGCCGUAAACGAUGGAUAUUCGAGGUCGGAAGGGUCAACUUUUCGGUCUCUCAGGGAAACCGGUAAAUAUCCCGCCUGGGGAGUACGGUCGCAAGAUUAAAACUCAAAGAAAUUGACGGGGACCUGCACAAGCGGUGGAGCACGUGGUUCAAUUCGAAUUCAAAGCGAAGAACCUUACCUGGGCUUGACAUGUUUGUGAAAGCUCUAAGAAAUUAGAGCCUUUUAGCCUUACGGUUAAACACUUGCACAGGUGCUGCAUGGCUGUCGUCAGCUCGUGUCGUAGGAUGUAGAGUUAAGUCUCGUAACGAGCGCAACCCUCGCCCUUAGUUGCCAUCAUUUAGUUGGGCACUCUAGGGGGACCGCCGGCGAUAAGCCGGAGGAAGGUGAGGAUGACGUCAAGUCCUCAUGGCCCUUAUGUCCAGGGCUACACACGUGCUACAAUGGAUACAACAAAGGGACGCUAACCCGUAAGGGGGCGCAAAUCCCAAAAAAAGUAUUCUCAAUUCGGAUCGAGGUCUGCAAUUCGACCUCGUGAAGCUGGAAUCGCUAGUAAUCGCGGAUCAGAACGCCGCGGUGAAUACGUUCCCAGGUCUUGUACACACCGCCCGUCACACCACGAAAGGGGUUAAGAUCAGAAGUAGUGCGGACUAACCUUCGGGAAGUCGGCUACCAAGGUUUUGGCGCUGAUUGGGGUGAAGUCGGAACAAGGUA